rnacentral:rRNA from 1 species
AAUCUGGCACCUUCGGUGUCCGAGUUGUAAUUUGAAGAUUGUAACCUUGGGGUUGGCUCUUGUCUAUGUUUCUUGGAACAGGACGUCACAGAGGGUGAGAAUCCCGUGCGAUGAGAUGCCCAAUCCUAUGUAAGGUGCUUUCGAAGAGUCGAGUUGUUUGGGAAUGCAGCUCUAAGUGGGUGGUAAAUUCCAUCUAAAGCUAAAUAUUGGCGAGAGACCGAUAGCGAACAAGUACAGUGAUGGAAAGAUGAAAAGAACUUUGAAAAGAGAGUGAAAAAGUACGUGAAAUUGUUGAAAGGGAAGGGUUUGAGAUCAGACUCGAUAUUUUGUGAGCCUUGCCUUCGUGGCGGGGUGACCCGCAGCUUAUCGGGCCAGCAUCGGUUUGGGCGGUAGGAUAAUGGCGUAGGAAUGUGACUUUGCUUCGGUGAAGUGUUAUAGCCUGCGUUGAUGCUGCCUGCCUAGACCGAGGACUGCGAUUUUAUCAAGGAUGCUGGCAUAAUGAUCCCAAACCGCCCGUCU